rnacentral:lncRNA from 13 species
CACCCACAUCAGCCUACCCCUGCUCAUACUCGUCAACUGUGCCAGCAUGCGCACAGGAGGUAUAAAAGGCUUAUGCCGGCAAGAAUGUGGUAAAAAUUGGACUUUGAAAUUGGGGCGUAUAAACAUUGCCCGAUUUUUAUUUAAUGCAACACACCGUAAAUCCUGUGUGAAAAGUGUAGAACUAAGUAGUAUGUAAAGCAGGACGUUAAAGCAUGGGGCUAUGUAGGGGAUCUCCCUGCUCCAGGCUAAUAAGUCAUUGUGUCCUUUCACAGGCUAAUGUGCUGACAGUGGGAUUCAAAAGGAGCCUCAGCCACCUGCAGAUGGGCCAGGGCCAGGGAGGAUGACAUCACCUUGGACAAAAGGACCCUUCUGAACUCAAGCUGUGAGGCUUUGAUUAUGGUAAUUCACCACCAGGGUUGGCUGACCACUGCAUACAGUGACCUAUGGUCUUUCCCAUAGUGACCCGUCCGGGGCCAGUAACGAGGGUUCCCAGUCCGGUGCCUGCAACGAGGGUCCCCGGUCCAGGGCCCGCAACGAGGGUCCUCACUCCGGGGCCCGCAGCAAGGGUCCCCAGUCCAGGGCCAGUAACGAGGGUUCCCAGUCCGGUGCCUGCAACGAGGGUCCCCAGUCCGGGGCCCGCAACGAGGGUCCCCAGUCCGGGCCCAGCAACGAGGGUCCCCAGUCCGGGGCCCGCAGGGAAGGUCCCUAGUCCGGGAUCGGCGACGAGGGUCCCGCACCAGAGCCGCCACCGCAGAUAGAUGCCCACCAAGACCCUCCCCUAUAGGUUCAGAUUUUGCGGCCGGAGUCCGCACCUUUGGGGGGGGCGGGGGGGUGGGGGGGGUGUACUGUCACGCGCUGACCUGAGAGAGACAUUUUAUUUCUCUAUUUGGUCAGGUCAGGGUGUGAUGUGGGGUGGGCAUUCUAUGUGUUGUUUUCUAUGUUUCUGUUGAUGAAAUUUAUAUGAAUGACUAGAAUAAUCCACUCUGAACCCCAAAGCCGUAUAAUCGUAUGAGUAUGAAAUUGAUUUGAAUUAUGUAUGACCAUAGUCUGUACAAUAUGUCUAUAAACCUUAUUUGAAUAUCAGACAUACUGUCUGAGCAAGAUUCAGUGCCGACCUUGGCUGGGGCCACUGAGAAUAAUUCCCAGUCUCCCUAUCUUUAGGGAGGAGGGGGAGUAAGUCUCAGUUUAUUUCUAUGUUUUGGCCGGGUAUGGUUCUCAAUCAGGGACAGCUGUCUAUCGUUGACUCUGAUUGGGAAUCAUACUUAGGCAGCCCUUUUUCCCAUCUGUGAUUGUGGGUAGUUAACUUUUGUUAGUGGCACUAUAUCCCUGUUAAGCUUCACUGUCGUUUCUUUGUUUCUUGUUUUGUUGGCGACAUUAAAAUAAAAGGAAAAUGUACGCUCACCACGCUGCACCUUGGUCUCCUUCCACCUUGGCCGUGACAGCACUGCUUUGCUUUAUCUUGGCCAGGUCGCAGUUGUAAAUUAGAACUUAUUCUCAACUGGCCUACCUGGUUAAAUAAAGGUUAACUAAAAAUACAAAAAAUUAAAAGGGGUGCUGCUAAAUAUGGACAAUUAUUUGAAUGGAAUUAUUUUGUAACCAUGAUGAUGUGGCAAUAUGUCAAUUUUGGGAUGAAUACAUCAUCUCAAGCUGAGCUACCUAUGCUCCAAAAAGUGUAUGAUUCACCAGUAUUUCCGAUUUUCUUAUGACACCAAAAUCCCUCUUCAGCAAUAUUAAAUAUUUAGCAUAAUGAUGAAACACUGGGAGCAUGAGACAUUUUGUAAGUUAAAGACCCAUUCAUAAACUACCUCCUCUUUAACCUCUCCUUAAUUAUCUAAUUUAUGUUAACAUGUUCCCAGCAUGCCUCUCUCAGCAGGUCUUUCCCAUAGUGACCCGUCAUUGCCUCCACUUCCACAUUCCUCUACUUUGUUCCACUGUUUCUCUCACUUAUCUGUGACUCCUCUCCUAUACUUUACACCUCUAUUGUAAUGCUGGUCAGCUCUCUGUAAUCCUGGCCCUGUCCAGGCUCUUCACACCUCUGUGUGGCCCCAAUGGCCUGCACCCUAGAGCGGGAUUAACUGACCAGUGACCCCAUGCCCCCCCGCGGCUCUCUGCUCUAUCCUCACAAUGCUCCAGUGUCACCACUCUCCCCCGACGCUCCACUCCCUUUCCCCCUGACCCACUUAGCCCAGUCCACCUCUUUGUCCACCAGCCACC